GUAGGGUGCGAGCGUUAUCCGGAAUCAUUGGGCGUAAAGAGCUCGUAGGCGGUUCAGCGAGUCGGCUGUGAAAUUCCGAGGGCUCAACCUCGGAACUGCAGUCGAUACUGCUGUGACUCGAGUCCGGUAGAGGAGAAUGGAAUUCCCGGUGUAGCGGUGAAAUGCGCAGAUAUCGGGAGGAACACCAGUAGCGAAGGCGGUUCUCUGGGCCGGCACUGACGCUGAGGAGCGAAAGCGUGGGUAGCAAACAGGAUUAGAUACCCUGGUAGUCCACGCCGUAAACGUUGGAUACUAGGUGUGGGGUUCCGACCAACGGUCCCCGUGCCGAAGCUAACGCAUUAAGUAUCCCGCCUGGGGAGUACGGCCGCAAGGCUA
rnacentral:rRNA from 1 species